AGGAGAAGAAAUGUGUUGACAGCAAAAGUAAAAAAUGAUUAAAAUGUCCAUUGUAUAUGAUGUUGGGAUUUUUUAACCAUGACAAACACACCAUAAAUGUGGUUGACAGAAGAAAAAAGAAACAUGACACAAGCAAAGUGGCCUGGGACAGUUAGAGAUGUGGCCAAAAAGAAGUCUCCAAAGCCAGGCAGAAACACCACUGCACCAUGCACCACCAAUGCCCACCACUACCAGCGAAACACGAACACCACUGCACGAAGAGCAAGAACAGGCACACCUCCGCACCACACCACCGCACCAUCGCGGAAAGCAAAUAUAGAGUUUGGAAAGUUUAGAAGAAAAGUAAUCGAGAAAAAAAAGAGAGUGGAAGAAGAAGAGGCGGAUCUCACCUCUCAAAAUUUGGGGGAGGUGAGACUGUGAGCUGAGUAAAAAUAAGGGGGAGGUGGAGCUAUGAGGGGAAUAAAAGCAAGGGAUGAAGAGUUAGUCUGACGAAUAACAUUAAAAGUAAAAAAGUUAAAAGAAAAGUAAAAAGAGCAAAAAAAGGUUAAAAAAAAGUAAAGAAAAAGGAUAUUAUUGUAAUAAAAAAAAAGAAACAAAAGGGGAUUUAUUUAUUUUUUAGUACCACCAGAUCUUAAGAAACAAAACUAAAAUAUUUAAAGUAAUCAUAGUAAUUUUAGUCACGCCAGAUCCUAAACUAAAGCAAAAUAAUAAUCAUUUCAGAAUUGAAACUAAGAAACAAAACUAAAAUAUUGAAAGUAGAAAACAAAAGAAAGGCUUAAUACCUAUUUUGGUCCCUCGAAAGAGGGGUUUCGUUCAAAAUCGUCCUACCUUUUUUAAACUGUAACAUUUAGU
rnacentral:lncRNA from 1 species